CCCCCCCCCCCCCAUGGACCUGCUGCCAAGAGAAUGUGGCUACCUUGUACCUGGGUGCCAGCGGUGUCUGUCCCCAGCUGCCAUGUGUCAUCCCCCAGCUGCGGGACCUGCUAUGAUUUCAUACAGAUCUGUAGACAGCCAUAGGUACCCGCGCGCAGUCCUCUCAGGCACACUGUCAAGGUCUGUCAUGGCCUGUUUCCUGAUCUUAGAGCGCCCCCUGUGGAAAGGACGGUCCUACUGCCCUGGCUGCACACUCUUCCUGCCCACCUGGAGCGCAUCUCAGCGCUUGUGAGCCUGAGACCACUGCACCCGUCCCUCUGCCUCCAUGCUGCGCUGCCUUCAGAUCCUUGGUCUGGCUUCUGGUUGGCCGCCCCAGAGCCAAUUCCGCUUUGAAUAUUAGGGAGGGCUCGGAAGAGGUGUCCGUGCGUGUCCCCCCAGAUAGCACCUUGGGGUGUCUGGAGAAGAGGGAGAGAAGCAAGCUCUGCUUCCGUAAUGCCAUGAUGAAGGAAGACAGGAGAUUAUGCAGAGGUCAUCGCAGGGCUGAGGCUGUGU